rnacentral:lncRNA from 1 species
GUGGUGACCUUUACAAGAUUUCACGGGACUGUUCCUUCAAUAUGCAGCUCCCCAGAGGCCCCCUGCUUGGAUGCCCAUUCUUCUAGACUCAAGUCCUGCCUGCCUAAAAGAUGAGACAGGCCAGUGUCUUAUAGAGUGAACCAGUAAGUGGGGGAGGGCAGUGUUAGGAGAUAGCCCUUGUCUCCAAAUUCUUGCAUAGUAGGAGAUGAUUUUGUGUGGCUUGAAAGUCACACCUUGGUACCCCAAGUCCUUCUGCUCAUUCACACUUGUUCGGAGAGGUGACUAAUGCCAGGGAUAUGAGACCCUUCCUGGCAAAGGUGAGUUGUCGGUGGCUCCUUUCACAUUUAGCAGAGUCUGGAGGAGCCUGGGGAGGGUCACCCUAGGUUCUCCGGGCUUCCUCUUUUACUUCUCAAGCAGGCUCCUGAAAUGUGAGGCCCUCAAGACGAUCUGUCAGGCUUUCUAAGAAGGCAGAGGUCUGGGAGAGAGCAGCUGAGACCAGGAAUCACUUGUGCAGGACCUGGAGAAUGAGCACGGCGCCUGUCACAUGCAUACCUGGGUAAGUGGUUGUGGAUGAAGGAAAAACAGUCCACGGGGGCUGCCAUUUGAUUCCCAGAACAACAGUGUAAGUCAACAGCACAGGAAUAUGAGCCCCAACUUCCUGAAAAGAAAAAAAAAAAAGAAAAAAAAAAAGGCUCUUCCAGGAGCGCAGGGCCUUACUUUAAGAUCACCUGACCCCUGGAGCUGGCACCAGGGCUAUGGUGCAGUCUGGAAGCUCUGAGAUUCUCCAAAGGCAUGUCUCCCUUUGCAGCGGCUUGAAGUACCUCCUACACAGGUGCUUUCCAAGCAGUUCGUAAGAAGGCCCCUUUCAUCUCUCUGGUGCCCUAGCCCCACGCCCAGGCUUUGAAAGAGUUGGCCUAGCAAAUGAACUACAAUUACGUAGUAAUAAUGAUUCAAUUUUCUCAUUUUUUAUUAAUAAAAGACAUAUGUGAC